AUUUGCUCUUUUGGGCAGUUUCAUAUCCAAGUCCAGCCCCCUUGCAAAACACCCUUCAAUGUCUACGAGAGAUGAAAACCUGCCAAGCAGACAGCACUGGGAGCAGGAUCAUUUCAGGAGGGCAAGGGCUGUCCAAGGGGUUCAAAUUGCCACGUUCCUCUAAGGAAACAAGACAAUCAACAUUUACAAAACCCUCUUAAGAGGAGAUGAGAAACCAUGAUGAUGAGGCCUGAGCAAACCAUGGGCAGGACAACUGGACUUCGCCUUUUGCAGGCUGCAGAGACCUGGGGAUACCUUCAGACUGGGGUUCUGCAAACAGCUCUCCAGGGAUAGCAAAUUAUAAAAACCCAACCAAGCAGCCAGCCAAGAAUCCUCAGAUGAAGCUGUUGCAACCACCAGCAGAUGUUUAGAAGUGGAACCAGCUUCAGUGGGUGCCAGACACCCACAUUCAGCAGGAUGGGCAUCCCUCUGCACAUCGUGUGAGCUUGACUGAGAUGAGAUUCAAAUGAGUACUUCAUUUCUUACAUUUGGCAGCUCUAUGCAAAUUAAAAAUUGAGCCUCAAUAAAUACACCCUUAAGGAUUGCC